rnacentral:rRNA from 1 species
UUCAUGACUGGGGUGAAGUCGUAACAAGGUAGCCGUAGGGGAACCUGCGGCUGGAUCACCUCCUUAAU